rnacentral:rRNA from 1 species
GAUGAACGCUAGCUACAGGCUUAACACAUGCAAGUCGAGGGGUAGCACGGAGGAAGCUUGCUUCCUUGGGUGACGACCGGCGCACGGGUGAGUGACGCGUAUCCUACCUACCCAUUACUCGGGCACAGCCGCUCGAAAGAGUGAUUGAUUCCCGAUAUGUCAUUAGAGUAGAUCUAAUGAUGAAAGAUUUAUCGGUUAUGGUUGGGGAUGCGUAAGAUUAGGUAGUAGGCGGGGUAACGGCCCACCUAGCCGACGAUCUUUAGGGGUUCUGAGAGGAAGGUCCCCCACACUGGUACUGAGACACGGACCAGACUCCUACGGGAGGCAGCAGUGAGGAAUAUUGGUCAAUGGGCGGAAGCCUGAACCAGCCAAGUAGCGUGAAGGAUUACAGCCCUACGGGUUUUAAACUUCUUUUAUAUAAGAGUAAUGUGCACUACGUGUAGUGUAUUGCAAGUAUUAUAUGAAUAAGCAUCGGCUAACUCCGUGCCAGCAGCCGCUGUAACAC